UACGUAGGGUGCGAGCGUUGUCCGGAAUUAUUGGGCGUAAAGAGCUCGUAGGCGGUUUGUUGCGUCGGCCGUGAAAACCUGCAGCUUAACUGUGGGCCUGCGGUCGAUACGGGCAGACUUGAGUUCGGUAGGGGAGACUGGAAUUCCUGGUGUAGCGGUGAAAUGCGUAGAUAUCUGGAGGAACACCGGUGGCGAAGGCGGCAUCCUGGACCGGUAUUGACGCUGAUGCGCGAAAGCCAGGGGAGCAAACGGG
rnacentral:rRNA from 1 species